rnacentral:lncRNA from 1 species
UAGGAAACUAACUUCAGGAAAGCACUUGAGAAGGGGAGUGAGGCAGUAUUUGUGUUUUAGAAAGUCCUCCCUGGUUUCAGUGUCGAGUGGACAGAGACUGCAACACAAGGUUUGGAGGUCAGCCAGGCUGCCCAUGAGUCCAGGUGAUGACAUGUGGGGACUCGACAGGUGGCUGGCCAGGAGAGCAGCGGCCAGGGGCAGGCUUCAGCUGCUGGUCUGUCUCCCCAGCGCGGAUCCCCAUGUCCUUCUGGCAAGCAGUUAAAGAAGGAGACCACUGAAUUCAGUCCUGAGCGGAGGGACCUGGGAUGGCUGUGAGCCAGGUCGGGUCUGGCACUGCCGGGAUCCAGCAGCACUCUGCAGUGUGUUUCCCAGCACCCUCCUUCCAGGUGGGCUCUGAGCGGGCUGCUCCUUAGACUCUCAGCUGUUGCUUUAGAAUCAGCAGAUGCCAUCAGGCAAAGGGACUUGGAAUAUUAAGUUGCAUCUCAGGGCUCCCUUGGCAAGACCUUGUGAGCUCUGUAGUUCUCUAAACCUUUAAGAACAUAGGACUUGUUUUUAAAGUACUAUGUUCUACUAGUACUUGAUGGUAAGAUUGGCCCAACGAGCUGGAGUCGGAAGCUUCUCAGUCACCUCAUGAGGCUCUCAUUUCUAGGACAUUAGAGAACAGAAGACACCUCAUAAAGUAUCAGGCGCAUGUGAGGCCCAGCUGGUGCCAGCUGUUAUUGGUACACAAGAAAGGCGCACAUGUCUACGGGAGGAAUUGAAUAUCCACCGGCUGGCUACAGGAGCAACCCAGGAGGACACAUGGGGACUCGCUCCUGUGCACAGAUGGAAGAAACCACCUGAGCGGUCACAUUCCCCGAGGACAGAAGGGUGGGAAAGAAACAUUAGUAGGUGCGCAGAAAUGAAAUCUGGAGACAAGUGGGUGGAGGGACUCACAUCUGGGUUUUAACUUCCUACAUGAACAUAAUAGGAAAGAAAGAUGAUUUUCUGGAAGUGCGGGGAAUGGGAUCAAUGUAGGCUUUAAGGAAAGUGGAGGAAUGUGUCACAAGUACUGUGCAGAAAGCCCCGGGUGGAGUGCACGUGACUCCAGGGAGUCCUGGGCGCAGCAGCACUGGCUGUGUGGGACUGCGGCUGCGGGGAGAGCAAGUGGGCCCAGGGCUCCCCGAGGACCACUGAGAACAUGAGGCAGGGUCACCAGCAAGGGCGGUCAGAGGAGCAAUAGGACAGGGAGUGGCACAAGGGAGAGGGAACUGCAAGUCAAAUGCUAGGAGCCCUGAGAGGAGCCAGACUGGCACGUCCAAGGGGAGAGGAGAGAGCCUGGAAGUACACGCCCCACUUACCAGAAGAAAAGUCCAGGUGCACGAAGACCAGAGACCCGAGGAGCACAGCCAGUCCCAGUCCCCCUCCCGUCCAGGAGAGGGCACCUACUUGGUGGGACGAGGGGGCUUCUCCCACCAGGAGACAGCAGGUGGAUGUUAAUGGGCCAGGGUUCAAGAAAGUCUAUGAAGGACACGGUGGGGGUGGGUGUCACCUCCAGCCAGAGGAAGAUGAGACCCAAGAGCAGCAGAAACAGGACCUCGAAAGAGGUGCAGAGACACCGAGAGGGGAAAUCAGUGGACGAGGACACCGAGGCAGCUCCUGCCGGUGCGUCCCGUCUGCUCCAGGAGGCAAAGUAAAGGCAAACGCGGGAGGAGGAGAUAGAAGACACGGGAAAGGAGCCAAGUGGACCUCUAGAGACGAAGAAUACAGUGUCCAGGUGAGGAGCCGUGACGGGACGCCAGGGAUGACUCGCGGCUCUGAGGGCAGAACAAAUUCCCCUUCAAGUCAGUUACAGGGAGGAAAAAUGGGGAAAGCGGAGGAUGGGAAGGGCACAGAGGCUGUGAGACAGGGUCCUUGGGGACGCCUGCAGGGACAUGACCUCUGAGCAGACAACAUGGCAAGACAGAGAUGAGAUCCAAGAAGACAUUGGCAAAGCAGGUUCCCAGCGUUGUGGGGGACAGUGCCCUUAGUCCAGCGCUGGGGGGGACUGUGGUCUUCAACAUUCUGCCACUUGCUAAGAGCUUUCUAUGUGCCAUCUCUGUUCUGGCCCCAGAAACACAGCGACGCACGAGAUACUGUCUGUAGUCUGUUUGGAGAAGCAGGCACGUCCACAGGAGCUGCGGGAUUCUGAGCGCAGGAUGCCAGGUGCGCACUGAAGGGCGCCACCUUCAAGGAGCGCUCCGUGAGUUCUGGGCCCCCGAUGCCGCUGUUGUCCCGCCCAGGUCUGGACCCUGAGCAAGACACACUGGUGUUAUGAGAAGUGCUGGGUUCAGGACCUCACCAUGCCAGGUCUCCACGUUAUUCAGUAUCACUGACUGUAUCCCCACAAGCAGUGUUCGGGGACGCCAGGGCCUCCGGCCCCUGGAGAAGAUCGCUCAAUGCUGAAGCCCCCCUCUAGGGACCUUCCCCACAGACACCACCAAGGACAAAACAAAGCAUUGCAUUUAGUCCAUGGCUUCCUGCUUUGCACCCACCACAGCCCCUACACCCCUUUCUUCUAACAACACGUGGCACGUGUCUCUUCCACUUGACUCUAGGCACAAUGACGACCGGGAGUCUCACUGCUUUUGUGUGUGAAGCAUUCUCCUGAUCGUGGAAAGAUACACAUGACUUGACCUUUUGCAUUUUAAAAACACACAACUUGGUGGCAUUAAUUGCACUCACAACAACGUUUGCCACUGCCACUGUGUAUUUUCAAAGUGUCUUAAGCAAGUUUUGGAUCCUUAUCACACUGCAUGGCCCAUGUGACUUUGAUGGUAAUUACCGACCGACUUGUUGAAUGGAUGCUUGGGUCAAUGCAUCGUCUGGAGCUUGGCAAUAAUAUGAGGAGUUAAGAUUUCCUCUGUUGCAUGCAGAAAAUGACAGGGAACAGAGGCUGCCAAUGGGAACCAGCUUCCCCUGUUGGGCGUGGCCACCCCUGAGGAGUGUGUUCAGAGGGGACCUGUGCUGAUGGCAGCCACCAGGCAGGCUCUCGGGGAGAUGCAGUAUGGCAGAGACACUUCAGUCAGGUGGGCCUGGUGGUGGUCGGGCCAGGUGGUUGGACUCCUACAAGCAUUUAGGUGCUACUCAAAAUGUCUGCAUAAGUAAGUUUUCUCCCCUUGUCUCUAAGAGGAGAACAUGAUGGUCCUAUUGCCACCUUUGGGGCUUUGGGAAAUAGCUUGAUAAUAAGGGCUCCUCGCUGUGCCUCAUUCACAGGCACACUUCAGGGAAACCGGUGUCUCACAGGGUCGGGACAGUUCAACAGGUGCAUCACAGGGACGGGAUAGUUCCACGGGUAUGUCACAGGGAUGGGAUAAUUCCACCAGUGUGUCACAGGGAUGGGAUGGUUCCCCAGGUAUGUCACAGGGAUGGGAUGGUUCCCCGGGUAUGUCACAGGGAUGGGAGAGUUCCAUGGGUAUGUCAC